GACGAACGCUGGCGGCGUGCUUAACACAUGCAAGUCGAACGGAAAGGCCCUGCUUUUGUGGGGUGCUCGAGUGGCGAACGGGUGAGUAACACGUGAGUAACCUGCCCUUGACUUUGGGAUAACUUCAGGAAACUGGGGCUAAUACCGGAUAGGAGCUCCUGCUGCAUGGUGGGGGUUGGAAAGUUUCGGCGGUUGGGGAUGGACUCGCGGCUUAUCAGCUUGUUGGUGGGGUAGUGGCUUACCAAGGCUUUGACGGGUAGCCGGCCUGAGAGGGUGACCGGCCACAUUGGGACUGGGAUGCGGCCCAGACUCAUACGGGAGGCAGCAGUGGAGAAUAUUGCACAAUGGGCGGAAGCCUGAUGCAGCAACGCCGCGUGCGGGAUGACGGCCUUCGGGUUGUAAACCGCUUUCGCCUGUGACGAAGCGUGAGUGACGGUAAUGGGUAAAGAAGCACCGGCUAACUACGU
rnacentral:rRNA from 1 species